CAGAUCGGUAACUGUUAUUGGAUGGAAUUUUUUGGUAAUACAUCAAUGUCGUGAAAUUUCCGGCAAUGCACGUACAAGGAUUUACGUUGAGAAAAAGUGUUUUCACAGUACAAACACUUAAUGACGGUAUCCAUAUUUUUAAAAUGCAACCAAAUAGUAAAGUUUCAAGUAGUAUACAAUAAAUCAAGUCAACGGCAGUUGAUAAAUUCCAAAAUAUGACAACAGGAAUUAUCACAUAACAGUUAACACCAAGGUCCAAAAUUAUCACGGAUGCCGAAAACCAAAACAAAGAUAACCUAAUUCCGGGACAAACCGCUGGGAGCGCAUCGCACAUGAUAAGAAUGCCAAAAAUCUGCUGCUGCGAAGCUCUCGU